GAUGAAGAACGUAGCGAAACGCGAUAAGUAAUGUGAAUUGCAGAAUCCAGUGAAUCAUCGAAUCUUUGAACGCACAUUGCGCCCGCCAGCAUUCUGGCGGGCAUGCCUGUUCGAGCGUCAUUUCAACCCUCGACCUCCCCUUGGGGAGGUCGGCGUUGGGGACCGGCAGCACACCGCCGGCCCUGAAAUGGAGUGGCGGCCCGUCCGCGGCGACCUCUGCGCAGUAAUACAGCUCGCACCGGGACCCCGACGCGGCCACGCCGUAAAACACCCAACUUCUGAACGUUGACCUCGAAUCAGGUAGGACUACCCGCUGAACUUAAGCAUAUCAAUAAGCGGAAGGA
rnacentral:misc_RNA from 1 species